UUUUUUUGCUAGAUUCUCACGUAAACAAUAGUUUUUGGAUCUGAAAUAAGAAGGAUGAGCUUAUUUGAGCAUUUAUAUGCACAUGUGAAACCCAUGGAAGGAAGGUUUUGUCACGGUGCCUGUGUCAGCCACCUCCCCCUCCCAGCUCACCUGCUCCUGCUCUGCUGAUUGGAACCAGCUGUCCUGCAUCUCCUCAUCUCCUGCCUGCCUUCAUAAGGGUUCUUCUCUUCAGUAUCCAGCGCCAGUUUGUUAUACUCACUCCGGUCCACUUACCAUUGGUCACGCUGGUUCCUUCAUCCAGAGCUUCUCUUCACCCUGGUCUCGCUGUCCUCAGCGCUCACGUCCUUCCUCAAGUUGGUUUCGCCGUCCUCGGCGCCCACGCCUUCCUCAAGUUGGUUUUGCCGUCCUCGACGUCCACGUCGCUGGAUCCACGGAUCACCUCGCUCGUGGGAAAUACUCCACCAGUUCUCGUCGUCCACAUCUCCGGUGACGUCAGACCUUCACCCGAGGAUUACUCCACGCACCUUGAAACUGUUUAUUCUCCUCUAAGAAAAUAAACCACCUUCAAGCUAA